GUCGAGCGGCAGCGGGUCCUUCGGGAUGCCGGCGAGCGGCGGACGGGUGAGUAAUGCAUGGGAAUCUGCCCGGUAGUGGGGGAUAACUCGGGGAAACCCGAGCUAAUACCGCAUACGUCCUACGGGAGAAAGCAGGGGAUCUUCGGACCUUGCGCUAUCGGAUGAGCCCAUGUCGGAUUAGCUUGUUGGUGAGGUAACGGCUCACCAAGGCAACGAUCCGUAGCUGGUCUGAGAGGAUGAUCAGCCACACCGGGACUGAGACACGGCCCGGACUCCUACGGGAGGCAGCAGUGGGGAAUAUUGGACAAUGGGGGAAACCCUGAUCCAGCCAUGCCGCGUGUGUGAAGAAGGCCUUAGGGUUGUAAAGCACUUUCAGUGGGGAAGAAGGCAUGACGAUUAAUACCCGUCAUGAAGGACAUCACCCACAGAAGAAGCACCGGCUAACUCCGUGCCAGCAGCCGCGGUAAUACGGAGGGUGCAAGCGUUAAUCGGAAUUACUGGGCGUAAAGGGCGCGUAGGCGGCUUGCCAAGCCGGAUGUGAAAGCCCCGGGCUCAACCCGGGAACGGCAUUCGGAACUGGCAGGCUAGAGUGCAGGAGAGGAAGGUGGAAUUCCCGGUGUAGCGGUGAAAUGCGUAGAGAUCGGGAGGAAUACCAGUGGCGAAAGCGGCCUUCUGGACUGACACUGACGCUGAGGCGCGAAAGCGUGGGUAGCAAACAGGAUUAGAUACCC
rnacentral:rRNA from 1 species